rfam:Gossypium raimondii chromosome 2, whole genome shotgun sequence.
UGCCUGUGAUGUUCUAACAUUUGUCCGUACCAUCUGAGAAUAUUUUUUCCCUGAUGUAUUCUCUUCAAGUUUUAUUUCUGAGGCAU